UAUGUCCUACGGGGGGCAGCAGUGGGGAAUAUUGCACAAUGGGGGAAACCCUGAUGCAGCGACGCCGCGUGAGUGAAGAAGUAUUUCGGUAUGUAAAGCUCUACCAGCAGGGAAGAAGAAGGACGGUACCUGAGUAAGAAGCCCCGGCUAACUACGUGCCAGCAGCCGCGGUAAUACGUAGGGGGCAAGUGUUAUCCGGAUUUACUGGGUGUAAAGGGAGCGUAGACGGCGAUGCAAGUCUGAAGGGAAAGGCG
rnacentral:rRNA from 1 species